rnacentral:rRNA from 1 species
AUACGUAGGGUGCGAGCGUUGUCCGGAAUUACUGGGCGUAAAGAGCUCGUAGGUGGUUUGUCGCGUCGUCUGUGAAAUUCCGGGGCUUAACUCCGGGCGUGCAGGCGAUACGGGCAUAACUUGAGUACUGUAGGGGAGACUGGAAUUCCUGGUGUAGCGGCGAAAUGCGCAGAUAUCAGGAGGAACACCGGUGGCGAAGGCGGGUCUCUGGGCAGUAACUGACGCUGAGGAGCGAAAGCAUGGGUAGCGAACAGGAUUAGAUACCCUGGUAGUCCAUGCCGUAAACGGUGGGCGCUAGGUGUAGGGGUCUUCCACGACUUCAGUGCCGUAGCUAACGCAUUAAGCGCCCCGCCUGGGGAGUACGGCCGCAAGGCUAAAACUCAAAGGAAUCGACGGGG